UUAAAAAAAAGCUUCUAACUUUUUAAAAAGCAUUAAAUUGU
rnacentral:tRNA from 1 species